rnacentral:lncRNA from 1 species
AUGACCAUGUUAUUACAUCUAUCCCACAGUCUCUGUUGACCCACAUUGGUGGUAGGUCGAGGACAUGAACCGUCAACAAAUUCGAUUUUGUUUUUAGCAGAUAGAGCAACAAUCAUCUUACGCCUCCAACCCCCAUAACCACUACCCGAGAAGGGAGUGGGAACAAGAGAGACCCUAGGGACAUCAGAGGAAUAUACAAAAAGGGGGCUGGUAGAGUCUGCCGAGGAGGAGGUACCAACAGUGUUUUUUGAAGCCAUGAUUAGUAAGUCAACGUAAAAACAGUAUCGGCAAUCAAAGUAUGACAGAACCAGAUACUCACAUACAAAGCAUACAAUAGUCAAAAUAAGGAUAGAGUUACCCUCCUUCUUCGCGACCGGAGAAGAUCGGCCUUCAAUCAAUCAAAGAAAGCCCUAGGUCCAACACCGGAAACCCUAGGUUCUGAAACUCACCGGAGUAAGGUCAUAGACGUCGGAAAAAUCACCCAAAACGUCAACCAAGCGAAGAAAAAGUCAUCGGAUAACACAAAAACUCUAGGUCCGAAAGUCGGAAAACCCUAGAAUUUGAAGAACUCAUCGGAACGAAGUCAGAGAUGUCGGAAAAUCACCCAAAACAUCUACUUAUAUAGGAUCGGAUCCUCAAACAGGCAUAAAAGUCCCGAUUAACUGAUUAACAUUCGUCGAAAAAAAAAAUAUUUUUCUCAGAUAAUCGAAGAAAAACUCUUUAUCAAGCAUCGAUAACACAUGACAGGGAAGGAUCGGAAGGUUUCCUUGCUCUGAUACCAUGAAAACAUGGAGAUUUGAGGGAUAAAACUAGAGAAGAUGAAGAUGAACUGUGAGAAGCAGAGAGAGAGAUUGGGAACCUUCUGGAGGAAACUCGAGAAGGAAAA